AUGGAGGAGGGCUACUACUUCUCGUACGCAUCCCUCUGCGGCGCCCUUGCGGUGAUUGUGGCAGGCUGGCUCGUGUACAGGUGGAUGAAUCCUCCCUGCAACACCGGGAGGCUCCCUCCCGGAUCCAUGGGCUUCCCCCUCGUCGGCGAGACCUUCCGCUUCUUCAAGCCAAGCCCUUCUAUCGACAUCCCAGCCUUCUACAAGCAAAGGCUCAAAAGAUACGGCCCGUUGUUCAAGACGAACCUCGUGGGGCAGCCGUUGGUGGUGUCCAUGGACGCCGAGGUGAACCGCUUCAUCUUCCAGCAGGAAGGCAAGCUGUUCCGGAGCUGGUACCCGGACACCACCAACAUCAUCUUCGGAAAGGAGAGCCUCGCCUCCUGCGACGGCUCCCUCCAUAAGUUUGUCCGCAGCUUCGCCGCCAGGCUCUUCGGCGUCGACAGCCUCCGGGACGUGCUCCUCGCCGAAAUGGAGCAGAACGUGGCGCGGAGCUUCGCCGCGUGGGCCGCGGAGCCUGCAGGAAUCGAGGUCAAGGACGCGGUGUCCACGAUGAUCUUCGACCUCAUGGCCAAGAAGCUGAUUGGUUUUGGGCCCGACAAGUCAAGGAAACUUAGGAAGAAUUUGGAUGUCUUCUUCCAGGGAAUGGUCUCCUUCCCGCUGUAUUUCCCUGGGACAGCAUUCUACAAAUGCAUACAGGGAAGGAAAAAUGUGCAAAAGGUACUCAAGGACCUGCUAAAAGAAAGGCUCAGUGCACCUCAAAAGCGACACGGUGAUUUCCUCGACGAGGUCGUCGAUGAGCUACAGAGCGGGACGGGAAUGUUGAACGAGAAAUUCGCCGUAGAUCUGGUGGGCGCCCUCCUGUUCGCCAGCUUUGCGACCGUGUCGUCGUCGCUCACUGUCGCCAUGAAGUUCCUCAGCGACCAACCCAGUGUGGUAGAAUCACUCAAGGAGGAGCAUGAAGCGAUUUUGAAGAAAAGAGAGGGUGCCGGUACUAGUGCGAUCACAUGGGACGAAUACAAGUCCAUGGCAUUCACUGCUCAGGUCACGAAUGAGAUCGUUCGCCUUAGUAACGUGGCCCCUGGAAUAUUCAGGAAAACACUAACAGAUGUGCAAGCGAAAGGCUACACGAUCCCCGCCGGUUGGCUGGUGAUGAUCAGCCCCAUAUCUGUCAAUCUGAACCCAGAACUGUAUGAAGAUCCCUUAGCCUUUAAUCCAUGGAGGUGGCAGGAUGAGUCGAAGAAGAGCACUCUGCUCAAGAACUUCAUGCCGUUCGGAGGGGGGCUAAGGCUUUGCGUGGGCGCAGAAUUCAGCAGAAUUCAGAUCGCACUCUUCCUUCACACCUUGGUGACAAAGUACAGAUGGAAGGAGAUAAAAGGAGGCGAAGUGCAACGCAUAUCCGAGAUCGUGUUUCCGAAGGGCUAUCACAUCCAAAUAAUCCCUAGGGAGGAAUCGAUAAACUGA
rnacentral:rRNA from 1 species